AGGAGGGAGAGGAGGACAGAAGAGAAGGCAGAGAGGAGAGAGUGUGAACUGCGAGAGCUAACCUCUGACUCAUAAUAGCCUCAGCCAGUAGAUUCAACUGGAUCUCAGGUAAGCCACCCUCUUGCACCCAAAAGAUAGGAAGUCUAUUGUAUUGUAAAUAUUGACCUGCGUGUAUGUCAUUGUGUGUUUCUAUGUGUCUGUGUACAUGUAUGUGUGUCAGUGUUUGUAUCUAUGAGGAAAAAUAGAAGAGAAGUCCAGGCACUCUCAGGAUACAAGAAGGCAAACUUAUUGAACCCUCUGCAUUGUAUCUGUGUGUGUGGCAGUAUUUGUAUAUGUGUGUCUGUGUAUCUGCAUGUGUGUCAGUGAGUAUUUAUGUAUGUUUCUAUAGCUACAUGUGUGUCAUUGUGUGUCUGUAUAACUGCCUGUGUUUCCAUGUGUGUGUAUAUAUAUGUUUGCAUGUGUAUCCGUGUGUGUGUGUGUGGUAGUAUUUGUGUAUACAUGUGCAUACAUCUCAGCAUUCAAACUCCAAAACUAUUUACAAAUACACCCCUGCAUACAAAC